rfam:Hordeum vulgare subsp. vulgare, WGS project CAJW01000000 data, contig: morex_contig_62944
UGAAUACUCCCUCCGUCCUAAAAUUCUUGUCUUAGGUUUGUCUAGAUAUUAAUAUAUCUAAUCACGUUUUAAUAUUUUAAUACAUUCAUUUCUAGACAAACCUAAAACAAAAAUUUUGAAAUGGAGGGAGUACAUU